GCCACGGUGGUCUAGCGGUUAGAACGCUGGCCUUGUAAUACUGUGGUCUCGGGUUCGAUUCCCGGCGGUGCCC
rfam:Zootermopsis nevadensis contig21565, whole genome shotgun sequence.